rnacentral:piRNA from 1 species
UCCNGUGCUGUGAUUUGCCCCAACAUGUGA